rnacentral:rRNA from 1 species
GCACGUAGUUAGCCGGUGCUUAUUCUUCAGGUACCGUCAUUAGCUCUUAAUAUUAGUAAGAGCCGUUUCUUCCCUGACAAAAGUGGUUUACAACCCGAAGGCCUUCUUCCCACACGCGGCAUGGCUGGAUCAGGCUUGCGCCCAUUGUCCAAAAUUCCCCA